UACAGAGGUCUCAAGCGUUGUUCGGAUUCAUUGGGCGUAAAGGGUGCGUAGGCGGCGCGGUAAGUCGGGGUGUGAAAUUUCGAGGCUUAACUUCGAAACUGCAUUCGAUACUGCCGUGCUAGAGGACUGGAGAGGAGACUGGAAUUUACGGUGUAGCGGUGAAAUGCGUAGAUAUCGUAAGGAAGACCAGUGGCGAAGGCGGGUCUCUGGACAGUUCCUGACGCUGGAGGCACGAAAAGCCGUGGGGGAGCAAACAGG
rnacentral:rRNA from 1 species